rnacentral:lncRNA from 1 species
GUUCUUGCACUGAUUCCUCACUCCUAGUGCGUCCCACUUUCACCAGAUUUCUGAGGAAGAAAGGAAAAUGUCGAGCUCUCAGUGUUUUGAGAACCCACCAAACCUGAGCUCCACUUGCGGAGCAGGACACAUUGAAGAGCUUGCAGGUCUCAAGACUUACGUCACCGGCCCUUCCGAUUCCAAGCGUGCUGUUCUUCUCAUCGCCGAUGCUUUCGGUACUGGCCCAUUUCUUUAAUUUUGAUUUUGUGGUGUUUCUCUCAGUUGGGUCUUUUCUUUUGGUCAAUUAUGUAUAUCUUCUUGGUUCUUUGUCGUUCUUGUGCUUUUCGAUUGGUCCAUGAUAUUGCUGCUUGAUUGAUGAUCUUUGCUCAUCUGUUUGUGCAGGGUAUGAGGCUCCUAAGCUGAGGUAUGGAAUCUUUCUCAAGUUGUUCUAUGUAUAUGUUGUUCUGUAGUGCCAUCUUUUGAAGUUUCGUAGCGAAUAAACUCUGUAUUCUCCGGAUAGCAUACAUUUGAAAGCUUUGCUUUUCCGUUCACCUUUCACCUGUGAUGACGAAGAGCAUUAGAUGGCACUUGAAGGCGAAGCCAGUUCAUUCUGGAUGAGUGUGUUUGGCGUUCUUCUGUUCCAAGUUAAAACAUCAUUUGUUGAAUUGUAUAUACACGUGGGACUUCAUGGCAUAGUUCAGCUGACAUUUGAUAUACAUCGCUUGAUUCAAUAUGAAUCACAGUUUUCUUUGUUCUAAUGAUUUCCGCUACUAAUAUGGCUCAGCUGGUUAUGUAAUUCGGUUUCAUCUUGAGAUAGAGUUAUCCUUAGUUGCAACACCAAAAUCACAUAAGCUGGGUUUGCCUUCUUGACAGUCCCGGCAUGAUUCUAUGUUUUAACAAGAUUGAGAAUGAUGAGAGUUACCUUUUCAAAUGGUCAUACUUAUUUGCGGAAUGCUUUUGUUGUGUAGGAAACUUGCAGAUAAAAUUGCAUCAGCAGGAUUCUUGGUGGUUGUACCUGAUUUCUUUUACGGAGAUCCCAUUAUUGAUUUCACUAGUCCUAAUUUCAAUUUAGAAGCUUGGUUUAAGAAUCACGGCACGGUGAGUUUUUCACUCCUUCAGCUGUGAAAGUGUGACAGUACAUUUAGAAGUUCAGAGGAAACAAGGGGCUUUCUACGGUGCAGACUUGAUUUGUAGACUCGAAUCACACGCAGUAAGCUGCAUUGGUAUUUAGACCUGGUUGGAGAUUGCUGGUCAUUUCAAAGAUUUUCGACAUCCAUCAAGAUCUUUAUUAUACCAAGUUCCAAAUGCAAAACAUGAAACAGAAUAAGUAGAAUAAAAGCCUCAUGAAUUUUGAUGUUACCGACUUUUAGGCAGUCUUUUUAUAAACGUUUACUUCAUUUGCUUCUUUAGGAUAAAGGGUAUGAAGAUGCCAAGCCAGUGAUUGCUGCUCUUAAGAGCAAAGGUGUGUCUGCCAUUGGGGCUGCAGGAUUUUGUUGGGGAGGUAAAAUUUUCUGAAUUCACUUUCCCAGUUCUGAGGGGGUUGUGGGGUUAAGAAAUGGAAUAUUUGUUCUACAUUCACCGUAGAGAAACUAGUUUUGUUGACUUGCAGAAAAGUUCUUUCAAGUUGUUAAACAGAGCUUGCCUAUUCUUUUCAGGAAUGGUGCUGGUGAAAUUAGCAGGUACUGAAGACAUUCAAGCAGCAGUUAUUCUGCACCCCGGUCCUAUGACUGAAGAUGAAAUCAAAGGUAAAGCUAUGCCAGUAAACAUGGACUUGCUAUUUUCUUUUCAGCCGCAGCGAUAUAAUUUCUUAAUGAGGGUAUUAGACUUGGUACUUGGCACGGGAGCCUUUAUCGCCUAUUAUGAAAUGCUCAUGAACGAUUAAAUUUAUGAAUUCUGAUGGGAGUCUGCAAUGCAGCCGAGAGUGACAAAGAAACUCGCUAUAACAUGUCCGGUCAAUUACAAGAAAUCGAUGGCACAACUUUUGUCUGCUUGAGAAGUGUUCCUUAAACUGGAAGCCUUAAAGACCUUAUUUUCUUCUGUUCUUUGUCCAGCUGUCAAGAUUCCAACUGCUAUAUUGGGAGCUGAGAUCGACCAUUCUUCCCCGCCGGAACAACUGAAAAAGUUCGGGGAGAUCAUGUCGGCUAAAACUGAAGUAAGCUUCUUAGGAUGCUUUGCGUUGGUUGCAAACCAAUUGUCAGAAAAUGCAAUCGUUUUUCCACGUUCCCGUCAUUUCGCUUGCAAAGCACCUUUCCCUUCCUGGUUAUUUAUACACAUCGCUAAUUCAAAGACCCCGGUUUUGCAGUUUGAGAGCUAUGUGAAGAUAUUCCCUGGUGUUAGUCAUGGAUGGAGUGUGAGGUACGACGACGACAAUGAAUUUGUGGUCAAGAGCGCCGAAGAGGCCCAAGAGGAUACUUUGAAUUGGUUCUUGAAGCAUGUCAAGUGAAGAGAACCGAAGGCAUUGAAGCACAACAUUCUGACGGAAGCAUUAGAUGACUGUAUUGUGUGAGACGAACAGUUUGAGGACUAGUCAUCUAUUGUAAUAUCUGGCGAGGGAACAAUGUACUGUGCUGUUGAUACUUAGAGAAAUAAAGACAUUGGUUUCAUCGCUUAAACUUGGAAGAUUGAAAACGAAAUAUAUCGCCUAGAGUUGUAUCGUGGCGAUUUUCGUGGCGAUUUGGGUGCAUUUUCUAUUCGAAUUGAUCAGAGGUGUUCACUGUCCAUUAAAUGAGGACCACACAAUGGAAUAUGAAACAGCAUAUUCGUUUCCCAAUCCCCUUUUUGAAGGAUAUGUUAUUGCAUGGUUACCACCAAGUCAUCAGCUAAAGUGGCUAAUAUCUAAGGUAAUCUCUAGACCACUUAAUUUUGAAUGCAUCCAUUAUAUUAUAAGUUAUAACUUGACAAAUAUGCGAGCAAUUAAGAUUUCAUUAAAAGAUACACGAUCUCAAAAUCGCAUGCCCCAAGAAAAAAAAAGAAAAAGAGAUGAAAGUAAGGAUAUGGAGAAAAAUAGUAUCCAAAAUAUAUGAGAAACCAACUAUUCGAACUUAUGACAAAAGCGAAGCGUUUGUUUUUGGUCAAGUCUAUAUGAUAGUAGGUCAAGAUUUUUCGAAACUAAAUCAGAUAGACAUGGAAAAAUUCGUCCUUCAUGUAUAUGGUAUAUAUUUUCGCAAUGUGCAUUUGUAUACUGACCAAAAAAUUUCAGCUUUUGGCCAGAUGGUGUUUUUUUGUGAGAGGACGCAUGUCUCUAUCGGGCUAAAUAUAUAAUGGUUUCGUCUUUGUUCGUUUCUCGUCUGUUUCUCACCGGCCCUCUUUCUUGUUUGACAUCAGCAGUGACGUUAAUACGAACCACGAGACCUUUGAUGACUAAUCCGAACCAUAAGAUUACACGGGCAAGGUGUCUGCAAGAGUAACUUUUUCAGACGCUGUGAUAUCGUAUCGCGGAUAAGCCAAUGGUUUUCAGAAGGCAAAGCAUGAUUCCACUUAGCGACCAGUGAAUCACCGUAUCAUCUCUCGUCUCUUGGCUCUGUUCUUACCUCGGAAAGAAUAAAGAAACGAAGAAAAAGACCAUGAACAGUAAACAAUGAAAGAAAAGAGAAGAAAAGAUCAAAAUAUCUAUAAAUUUUUUCAAAACGACGUCGUUUUGAGUGGAGUUGUGCAUGUCAAUAUCACUAACCCUUGCCAUGUAAGAUGACAAGCAUUGAUUUGCACCUCUACAUCAGAAUUUCCUGACAUAAAUUAGUUGGAUAGACAAUAUUACAAAAUUGUUGAAAGGUUCAUGACUACACUAGCCGAAUUGGACAGUUUAUUACAAAAUUGGAACUUGUACAAUUUGUUCACAGCUUUUGGGUAGUUUUUCCCAUCUUAAGUAAGUCGUAAUUCUAAUACAUGGAUGCAUAAGCUCUAUGCUUUUCUUAUUAUGAAGGUUGAAUUCCAUUUGAAGGUUAGGUAAUCGUUUUCUGGUUUAGGUAUUUAUUUUUUGUCCUAUGGUGAAUUAGGUGAUGCUUUUUUCGCCUCGUUGGGACAGAGAAAACUGCUUUGUCUCCAAUCCGGCAACUUCCAUAUUGCUGAACCUGGACAUGAAUUUAGUAUCUGUAACACAAUUGUUGAAAUAACCUAAUGAAAAAACCUAGAUUGGUCGAAAUUGGUUGAUUUGGGUCAUCUAGGAACCGGCUUGUUGAAUUAAAGUCUAUCAAACCCAUUGGUUGAUCCAGGCUGAAAUUGGAUUAGUCCACUUAUCAAUUGCGUUAACAUGUCAGGGCUCAACAGCCGGCAAUUAUCUGGAUUUGUAAGAAAGAUCCAUGCAUAGCCGGUGAUGGGCCUUUCUCUCUUGGAAAUUGGACAUUGCUGAAAAAUGCUUUCAAAGAUCUUUCUAUUGGAGUUUUCGAAGUUCUCCAUAUCCACAAAAAAUGUUUAACUUUUACUAGUUCAAAUUUUCAAAUGAGAUAAAAAAAAAAAUCAUUUUGAGAUGUUUGCUUUCAAAAGUUUCUAAAAUAAGUUUCUAAAGAAAAAUACUCGAGUUUAGCGCACAUCAGACGAUCCCUUCCUCGAGACUGUGGAGUGGUUCCUCGGGUCCAAGAUUCGGGGACAAGGGGGUAGGUUUCCCAAGUCCAAGCACUGGAUUCUACGCACUCCCGAGGCUUAGGUACGAGGCAUCGGAAGUAGGGGACCGAGGUCCCAUCUUGCUCUGUUGCGUAGUGGCGAGUGUUGGGGUCCCUGGUUCAACGCACCAACGUCCCGAGUCCAGCUACUGAAGUUUCAGGACUAAGCAUGGUGGUCUCGAAUUUGACCCACAAGCACCCAAGAUAUUGGGUCCUAGCACUUGGUUCCUAAGUUCGACCCUAAGGUCCUAUGUUUCGCAGCUGAAGUUCCCUAUCUCCAUAGAUGAGGCGAUCAGGUUCUCGAAUUUAGAUGAUAAGGUCUUGGUUUAGCCCUAGGUCAAGGGCAUGGGGAUUGGGGUCCCAAGUUCAAGGGUCGAUGACACGGGCGUGUAUUUUAAAUAUUAUAACUUUUUACUAAGUUCCUUGAUAUUUAACAUAUGCUAGGAUAGAAUUUCUUUGUAAUUUAAUUAGAAUUUCAUUAGUUCUUCAAAUAUGUUAAGUUUUCUUGUUAUAUAAAAUAUUGAGAGUUUUCCUCUGUUGCAUUCAUGUGUGUGCGCCAUCGUGUGUAGUGCGAGUGUUCACUUGUGUUGGCAAAUUGCCACUUGUGCAAUCACUCUUUUAUGUUACAUUAAACGGGUCCGGCAUUUGAGCACCGAUGUCUCAAAUUCAACCUUAAGAUGCAAAGCCCGGCCUGUCACACCCCAAAAACUACAAAGAAUGGGGAUGACACAAAGGUCCUUCUUUACAAAGGACGUAGCCUCAAACACAACCAGCAAACUGAUAUUAACUUAUAUAUAUAUCAGAUAAACCUUCAAAUUGGUUGCAACAUCAGAGUUCCUAUAUGUUGGAGAAAUCUUCCUGGAGUAUUUUGAAGCUGAUAAAACGUUUCCAUCAGUCUAGUCUGAAGAUUUGCAGACUCUACUAUUUAAAGUCUGAAGACCUCUGGACUGCCAGACUCAAGACUCAAAGUCUAUUCUCAUUGACAGUUUCUAAUCCGUCAAAGAAGGGCUAUCCAGGACUGGAUGUUUCGUUAAUGAUUUGACCUUAUCGAUUGGAGAAGAUCUCUUGGCUGUAUAUGACAUAACGGAAUCCUUUAUUGACUCAAAGAUUGAGGAUCUGAUGAUUGGCGGAGUAUACUUGGAAGGUUCUACUUAUGGAAACCGAGAUCCUGAUUGUAUGGGCGAGCAUGAUUAUGGGCUAUCGACAUAUUCCUUAAAUAGCUCGAAUGAUCUUCCUAAUUGAUUCUGUCCAACGGGAAGGUUGGAAGAAUUCCUUUGGUAAAUGCCAACGGGUAUGAUGGCAUAAAGGAGUAUAUAAGGAAGACGUUUAAGUUGUUCAAGUGUGUGUGUGAUAAAAGAAUUCCAAAGUCUGAAGCUCUUUGUUCUUAGUCAAUUCAUUUUCUGAGCGAAAUCUUGUACGCAAAAGAGAGUCCAUAUUCUUGAGAAACCUUGAGGAAGUGUGGUAGAGUAUUUACACUAUGGAAUCAAGGGAAAGCCUUGCUGUAACAACUCUUUUGUUUAUAGUGAAAUCCAGCCGGUGGGCUGUUAGUGCGGAAGAGUGGACGUAGGCUUGGAAUAAGAUGAACCACUAUAAUUUAUGUGUUCAUUUUCUCUUCCCUACUCUCUGCUUUACUUUGAUCAUAAUUUGCUUUGUUAACGAAAGGAGAACUUCCUUUCUAUUGUUUGCUUAGUAUUGCUCUCUUAUCUCGAGAAAAUAUUUUUUACACCUAUUCACCCCCCUCUAGGUGCUUAUACUAGAUAUCUCAAUUGGUAUCAGAGCCUGUGUACUCACUUUGUUUGAAGUGUUUUACUUUAGAGUUAAAGAUCCAUGGCUAGUAUGUUAGCUCCAGGGCUAGUAGAAGGGCAAAGCAAUACCAGACCACCUUACUUUGAUGGAAAUGAAUACAACAUAUGGAAAAACAAGAUGAAGGCGUUCCUAAGAUCAAAGGAUCCUCUGGAAUGGGACGUUAUAGACAACGGAAUCAUUCCUAAAGCUGCACCUGUCUUAGAGAGAGGAAAAGAAACUGUUGAGUCUAGUGAAAUGACUUAGGAAGAGAUAACCAAGAGACAAGCUCUUGAUGCAAAAGUAAUUUAUUCUUUAUAUUGUGCUUUGUCACCUACUGAAUAUAACAGAUUAUCUUCUUGUGUUACAGUGAAAGAAGUUUGGGAUAGAUUACAUAUUACCUAUGAAGGAACCGAUCGAGUGAAAGAAACCAGAAUCAACAUUCUCCUCGAUCAAUACGAAGCAUUCAAAAUGAAAUCAGGAGAAUCUAUAACUAACAUGUUUAGUCGUUUUACAGAAAUCGUGAAUGGUCUUGAAAAUCAAGGUUAACCAAUUUCUGAUCACAUGAAAGUAAACAAGCUACUGCGUGGACUCUCCAAGGAUUGAAAUCACAUAAAGACCUCAAUAAGGGAGACACAAAGAAUUAUGCCACUAUCUAUCGAUGAGUUGGUUGAGACUCUUCAGUCUUAUGAAGUGGAACGAAUCAAUGAAGACGAAGAUCCUAAAGGUAAGAAAUCCAUUGCAUUAAAAUCCAAUGAUGAUUCUGAUGUUACAGAUUCUAAAGACGAUAUGGAUGAUGAGGAGCUUGCUCUCAUGAUAAGAAGAUUCAGAAAGCUGAACAGAAAAGGAAGAAGAUUCAAUCCAAAGAAACAAAGUUUUCAAAAGCAACAAACUAAGUCCGUUGAGGAUGAUGAAUCAAAUAGAGAUGUAGUCUGCUUUGAAUGUAAGAAAAAUGGACACAUCAGACCCAACUGUCCUCUUCUGAGGAAGAAGAAAGGAAAAGUUGAAAAGUAUCAAAAUGCUCUUAAAGCAGAAACCUGGAGUGAUACAGAAUGUGAAGAAAGUGAUGAUGAUUAUGCCAAUUGUCUGGUGGCACAAUCGGAUUCAGAUUCAAACUCCGAGACAAACUCAGAUUCAGACAGUGAAGUUGAGGUGAGUAACUCUAAAAUCCCUAUUAAAGUUUCUAAAUACAUUGAUGAGUUGUGUUUUAGUCUUAAGACUUCUCUUAAAAGGAUUUCCGAACUUAAAAAGGAAAAUUCUGCAUUGAAACAACAGGAAAAUGUUUUGAAAGAAAAUGUGAAAUGUUUAGACAUGAAUGUUUCUACUCUUAAAGAAAGAGAAGACAACCUUUCGAAAGAAAAUGUAUUUUUAAAAAAUGACAUAUCAAAUAUUUUCAAAAGAUUUUCAAUAGGAUCUGAGAAACUUGAGAAAAUUCUUUCAGCAUAAAGACCUUAUUUCAAUAAAUCUGGUUUGGGAAUGACUGUGGAAACCAUUCCUUUAAUUGAUUUUCCUAAAGUGAAGGAAAGAAUUAAGCAAAGACCCAUAAGAGAUGCUUACAAAAAUCAUUUUAAAAAGGUCUUUGUAAAACCAAUAGGUCAGAAUGCUCUCAGAUGUUCAAAGUGCAAUAGUUCAAAUCAUUUUGAGAAAGAAUGUCCUAUGGUUUGGAAACCUGUUAAGAAAGUAUGGGCAAAAACCGCAUAUCAUACUAACACCAAUGGACCCAAGAAAAUAUAUGUACCAAAGAAAGUUUGAGUCUCUUUUUUAAAUGCAGGUCACUAUCAAGAAGAAGGUAAAAUGGUAUCUGGAUAGUGGAUGCUCAAGACAUAUGGCAGGAGAUUCAAAUUGUUUCAUAAAGCUCAUUCACGUAAAUGGUGGAAAAGUCUCAUUUGGAGGAAACAACAAAGGAAGAAUUGUGGGAUUCGGAACUGUAAAUAUUGGAAACCUCACAAUCAGCAAUGUUUCCUUAGUGGAAGGACUCAACUACAAUCUGCUCAGUAUCAGUCAGCUGUGCGAUACCGGUUUCAAAAUCAACUUUCAAGAAGGAAUAUGUUCAGGAACCAGUAAAGAUUCUACUAAGUCAUUCAUGGGUUGAAGACAUGGAAAUAUCUACCUCUUGGACGUGAAACCAAAUGAAUCGCAAUGUCUAAUCUCAAUUCAAGAUGAAGUGAACUUAUGGCACAUAAUACUUGGGCACAUCAAUAUGAAGCAAAUAGCCAAAAUUUCAGCAAAGAAGCUAGUUCGUGAUAUACCCAAUCUGUCAUACCAAAAGUCUGAUCUAUGUACACCAUGUGUAUUGGGAAAGCAUGUAAGAAAUUCCUUUAAACCAAUAAAUCAAGUUUCCACUAAUCGUGUACUGCAGCUUCUACAUAUGGAUCUCUUUGAAUCAACCAGAACUCAGAGCAUUAGAGGUAAUAAAUAUUGCCUAGUAAUUGUGGAUGACUACUCACGAUUUACUUGGGUAUAUUUCCUGACAAGUAAGUCUGAAACAUUUUCUUACUUUGAAAAGUUUGCUAAAAAGAUUCAAAAUGAAAAAUGGUAUGUUAUUUCAAGUAUAAGAACAUACCAUGGAGGUGAAUUUGAAAAUCAGGAUUUUACAAAAUUUUGUGAUAAAUUUGGUUUUCAACAUGUGUUCUCCUCUCCAUAUACUUCAGAGCAAAACGGAGUUGUGGAAAGAAAGAAUAGGUCGCUUCAAGAAAUGGCUAGAACUCUUUUAAUUGAAAGUAACAUCUCUUCACGUUUUUGGGCUGAAGCAGUUUCUAUAGUAUGUUAUAUUAUUAAUGGAGUUUUUCUAAGACCUAUUAUGGAAAAAACCCCCUAUGAGUUAUUCAAAGGAAAGAAGCCUAUUGUUUCAUAUUUUCAUGUGUUUGGAUGUAAAUGCUUUAUAUUGAAAAAUACAAAUGAUCGAGUUGGCAAGUUUGAAGAAAAAUCAGAUGAAGGCAUCUUCCUUGGAUAUUCUACCUCAAGCAAAGCCUACAGAGUCUACAACAAGAAGACUCAAUCUGUGGAGGAAUCAAUGAAUGUCAAAUUCCAAGAUUCUAUGCAAAAUGAAUCUAUUCAAACUCAUCUUGAAGAAUCUGAACUUGCUCCAGACUCUACAAAGUCUAAAUCUCAAGAAGCAGUUCAAACUUCGAAAGACUAGCAUCAAAUGAUUGUUGAAUAUUCAAAUGAAGAAAGUGAUCAUCAACCUGACAAAUCAACCGGUAACUGGAAGCAUAAGUCCAGUCAUCCCAAAGAUCUCAUUAUAGGCGACAUUAAUGAAGGAAUUCGCACAAGAUCCAAAAUGCGCGAAGAGUCUAGUGCUGUGGCUCUUAUUUCUGAAAUAGAACCCAAAAGCAUAGAAGAAGCUUUAUCUGAUGAAAGCUGGAUUGAAGCCAUGCAAGAAGAACUCAGGCAAUUCAGUAUUAAUGAUGUCUGGGAAUUGACUCCUAAACCGAAAGGUAAAUCUAUUAUUGGAGCUAAAUGGGUUUUCAGGAACAAGAUGGACGAGAAAGGAAAGGUCAUAAGAAACAAAGUAAGACUCGUGGCCAAGGGAUAUACGCAAGAAGAAGGGAUAGACUAUGAUGAGACUUACGCACCAAUAGCGAGGUUAGAAGCAAUUAGAUUAUUACUUGCUUUUGCUUGCUAUAAGAAUUUCAGGUUAUUCCAAAUGUACGUCAAAAGUGCUUUCCUGAAUGGAUUUAUCCAUGAGGAAGUCUAUGUGGAACAACCACCUGGGUUUGAAGACCCAAGGAAACCGGACUCAAUAUUCAGAUUGAAAAAGGCUUUAUAUGGUUUAAAGCAAGCACCUCGAGCUUGGUACGACAGGCUGAGUAAAUUUUUAAUUCAAAACGGUUUUGUCAAAGGUAAAGUAGACACUACUCUAUUUAUCAAAAGAGAAAGCAAAAGUUUUCUGCUUGUUCAAAUAUAUGUUGAUGAUAUUAUUUUUGGAUCCUCUUAUCAAAGUCUGUGCAAGAAAUUCUCUAAGUCUAUGCAGGAUGAAUUUGAAAUGAGCAUGAUGGGUGAACUAACCUUCUUUCUUGGACUUCAAGUGAAACAAUUGAAUAAAGGAACCUUUAUUCAUCAAGAAAAAUAUGCUAAUGAUCUUGUCAAAAAGUUUGGACUGGAAAAUUGCAAAAAGACUGAUAUACCAAUGUCAAGUUCUUUAAAGAUAGACAAAGAUGAAGGAGGAAAGAAGGUUGACCAGAAGCUAUACAGGAGUAUCAUUGGUUCACUUCUUUAUCUUACUAUUUCUAGACCUGACAUUUUGUUUAGUGUUUGCAUUUGUGCUAGAUUUCAAGCAGACCCUAAAGAAUCUCAUCUAAGUGCUGCAAAGCGUAUUAUCAAAUACAUUGCAUCAACUUCAAGCCUUGGUCUUUGGUAUCCUAAAAAGGGAGACUUUACUUUUCUUGGAUACUCAGAUGCAGAUCUAGCCGGAUGCAGAGUUGAUAGAAAGAGCACCUUGGGUAUCUGUCAACUACUUGGAAGCAGGACAGUGUCUUGGUUUUCAAGGAAGCAAAAUAUAGUGGCUCUUUCUACAGCAGAAGCAGAGUAUGUAGCUCUUGGAAGUUGUUGUUCACAAAUUCUGUGGAUAAAACAAUAGCUAAGAGACUUUGGAAUUGAAGAUUCAUGCACGGAGAUUAACUGUGACAACACCAGCGCAAUCAAUCUCACCAAUAAUCCAAUUCUUCACUCAAGAGCAAAGCAUAUAGAGAUUCGACAUCACUUCAUUAGAGAUCAUGUUCAGAAUGGAGAAGUUUCGAUUCAGUUUGUUGACUCAAAGAACCAACUGGCGGAUAUAUUUACAAAGCCGUUGGAGAAAAAUCAAUUUGAAAUCAUUCGUUCCAGACUCAACAUCUUGAGGUUUGAAGAAGUAAAAAUCUAGAGACUCUCAGACUCAGACAAUCAAGAUCGUUGAUUGUAAGUUAUUUUAUUCUCUCUCAGAUUAAAUCUUGAAAAGGUACGAUCAUAUGUCCAUAAUUGAUUUUUGCUACUUUCAAUUUCCGUGAUUAGUGCAAUCUUUCUUUUUCGAAAAUGGAGUUAAUUUUUAAAUGGCAGUUAUCUAUUUUUUUUGAAAAAGGCAGUUAUUUUUUAAAAGGGCAUCUUUUUACUUUUCAUUACGACGUUUUGUAUGCCUCUCUUCGACUGACCUAUAUACUGUUGGUUUCUCUUCGUUUAACUCCAAAAACUCUAAAAAGCAUCGAUCUUCCACUUCUGUCUUCUUCUCUUGUUUAAUCUUCGAAAAGUUGUCAUUUUUCUUGGGAAAGUCAAGUUUGGAAUCUUUCAAAGACUGUGAAAGAUGUCGUCUCAAAGGAAGUCUUCGAGGAUCGCGAACAGGGGACCGCAGCAAAUGCGUGAGGGGCCUACGCACUUUGAUCUCACCAAGGAAGAAGAGUCUCCUAGUCAGUAGCAGAGCCCACGACAUUCUCAGCAGCGUCCAUCUUCUCCAUCUAGACCACAGGAUGUUGCUCGUCGAGAAGAGGAAUAAAUAAUUGAAGAUGCAGAAUCGUAAGAACUUUUAAGCCCUCUUUUACCUACAAGCUUUAUCGUGCUUUGAAAAGGGGUGGAACUCCUUUGAAUUACAUUGAUGAAUUUCUGAAAGACAAAGGGUACAAAAAUGAAACCUUUUUUUUUUACGCACAAUGGAACGGUUGGGAAUUGCCCUUGCUGGGUUGGCAGAAGAGGCAAUGUCAAAUAUUCCAAUCGAUCCACGUGUUGGAGGGCUGAAUCAGCCAGAUGGGAAUGAUGAUGACAAGUUGUACAGUCAGUUUCAACCGAGAAUGGGUGUUGUGGCAAAAAUUUGGAGCAAAAGGACAGACUUGUUUCGAUCGGAGGAACACAAGCAUCUAUACUCUAAGUUGUUGAAGCGUGGGGUCAUAAACCCUAGAAGUGUGGAUUUUGAUUUCCUUGACGCUGUGAACGUUAAUUUGAGGGAAAAAUUCAGUCUUCUUCAACUUGAACAGUUCUGUUCUGAAUCUACAGAAGCCUAUGCUGAACUCACUACAUACUUCUAUUCAAAUCUCAGUUUCUUAGAUGCGAAUAGAUUCUCUUUUAGUGUCCGAGAUCAGGACUAUGUGGUGGAUGUAGAUAUGUUGGCUGAUGUGAUUGGGGUUGAGAGAGGGAGAUAUCAACCUAUAAAUGUCUCUAUUGCUCGUGCUACGUUAGAACUUGUUAAGGAUAGAAGGAUAGAGGGAAAGGUUUCCUACUCGAGGAUGAGUGCGUUCAACAUUCUACUUCACAAGAUUGUGAUCAAUUGCCUCAGACCAAAAUCUACUUCAAAGACUGAUGUUUCAAACUCAGAGGCAAAACUGAUGUAUGCCAUCAAUGCUGGGAAAAAGUUCUCUCUUCCUCAUACUAUUAUAUUACACAUGUAUAGAGCAGUGGUGAAAGACAAGGGUCAAAUUCCUUAUCCAGCUCUUGUGACAAAGUUAUUUAGACAUUUGAAUGUUUAGCCUCCCCGGAUUCUCUGUGUUCGAAUUUGUGAUCAAAUGGUAGUGGGACUGAAAAUGGUAUCUAAAAUGCAUCUGAAGGAACUCAACAAGGCGUUGGAGAAAUUUAAGGAGAAAACCCCUGUCAAAACUCAUCAAAUCUCUUUGGCAACAAAAAGAAAAGGGAAGGAGCCCAUGGUUGCUCCAUCCAAGAAAAGAAGAGCUCUCAUUGUUGAGGAUGAAGAAGAUGAGGAAGACAUCACCAUUACUGCAAUGGCAUUGAAGAACCUGAGUUGUUCUGUUCCAGAAUCAACGGAACGACAAGAGAAAGACACAGAACAGAGGACUGGAGAAAGAGAAGAUUUGGAAGCAGAAGAGAAAGAAACAUAGGAGAGAGAAGCUGAAGAAAGAGAUGCGGAGGAUGAAAGAAUUAAAGAAGAAGAAGAAGAAGAGGAAAAAGAAGAUCAAGAGGAAGGAGAGCAUGAGGAACACUCUUCUCCUCCUGAAGGCAUGGAAACAAGGGGAGAUUGUGAGAAAAGAGGAAUAUCCUCAUAUCCUACUACCAGUGAAGGAGUCAGCCGCUCUCCAGCAGAUCUAGAGGACAUCUAUGUCUCUCAAUUUCCUGAGGAGGGACAUGAUGUUUCAUUGCCCAAUCUGCGUGACUAUGCUGAUUUGCCAUCAUCUGCCUUUACUCCAUUUGAUCGUGCAGAAGCUAGUACGCAGACUGAUAAUUCAGCAGAUUUUCACAGAAUUCUUGAUGUUCUCUUAGAAAUGCGGGGUCGGAUAUAUGCUCUGGGAUGCGAAGUACAGAAUUUGCAGACUGCAAAUCAAGCUUCUUCAGUUUCUUUGGAUGAUCAGAUCCAAGCCCUUACUCUUCAGAUUCAAGCAAAUGCUAAGGGUGAAGAGGUGGCUCAACUGAAGGAAGAGUUGACAAAGCUGGAAGGCAUUGUCCAGUCAAUGGGAGAUUUUCAGCUUGUUCGUGUUCCCAAGCAUUCUUGAUUCCAUCUCAACCUUUUUUAUGAUGACAAAAAGGGGGAGAGAUGUGAUUUGAACUUUGAACCUUGAACUUUUUUGAACUUGAUCUUGAACUUUUGAUUUGUUUUGAUGUUUGACUUGACUUUUGUGUCUGGCUGUGGACUAGAUUUGGGAUUUUGGAUUGACUGCUUAUAUUAAGUACUAUUGAUAUCUUAUGGAUGGCUUUACUCAUAUGCAAGACUAACCUAUUUUCUGUGGUUACAGAUUUUAGUGUUAUCAAUAAACCAUUUAUCUUUAUGAGAUAUCCAUAUUUGCUUGAGUAAUAUUUUGCAGGUCAAAGUUAUCCAAACUGUAGGAAAGUUUUGUCACCAUAAAAAAGGGGGAGAUUGUUGGAGAAAUCUUCCUGGAGUAUUUUGAAGCUGACAAAAUGUUUCCAUCAGUCUAGUCUGAAGAUUUGUAGACUCUACUAUUUAAAGUCUGAAGACCUCCGGACUACCAGACACAAGACUCAAAGUCUAUUCUCAUUGACAGUUUCUAAUCCAUCGAAGAAGGGCUAUCCAAGACUGGAUGUUUCGUUAAGGAUUUGACCUUAUUGACUAGAGAAGAUUUCUUGGCUGGAUAUGACAUAACAGAAUCCUUUAUUGACUCAAAGAUUGAGGAUCCGAUGAUUGGCGGAGUAUACUUGGAAGGUUCUAUUUAUGGAAACUGAGAUCCUGAUUGUAUGGGCAAGCAGAAUUGAUGGGCUAUCGACAUGUUUCUUAAAUAGCUCGAAUGAUCUUCCUAAUUGAUUCUGUCCAACGGGAAGAUUGGAAGAAUUCCUUUGGUAAGUGCCAAUGGAUAUGAUGGCAUAAAGGAGUAUAUAAGGAAGACGUUCCAGUUGUUCAAGUAUGUGUGCGAUAGAAGAAUUCCAAAGUCUGAAGCUCUUUGUUCUUAGUCAAUUCAUUUUCUGAGCGAAAUCUUGUACGCAAAAGAGAGUCCAUAUUCUUAAGAAACCUUGAGGAAGUGUGGUAGAGUAUCUACACUGUGGAAUCAAGGGAAAGCCUUGCUGUAACAACUAUUUUGUUCAUAGUGAAAUCUAACCAGUGGGCUGUCAGUGCGAAAGAGUGGACGUAGGCUUGGAAUAAGCCGAACCACUAUAAUUUCUGUGUUCAUUUUCUCUUCCCUACUCUCUGUUUUACUUUGAUCAUAAUUCGCUUCGUUAACGAAAGGAGAACUUCCUUUCUAUUGUCUGCUUAGUAUUGCUCUCUUAUCUCGAGAAAAUAUUUUUACACCUAUUCAUUCUCCCUCUAGGUGCUUGUACUAGCUAUCUCACUAUAAUCCACCAAAAAGAGAAAAGAGAUAUACGUUUAAAACUUAGAUGAUCCAACCACUAGUAAGGAUCAUUUGCAUCACUUCCUUAAACUAUACCAAAAACAAAAUAGAACUCCCCAAAAGUUUCCCACGACAGUGAACUCGCUCUAUUUGCCGCUAGCUGAGGAACCUAAAAAGAUCAAAGGAGGAAUAGGAUGAGCAACCAUAGCUCAGUGAGUAGUACAUAUCUUCUAAACAGAUCGAACAAUCACUAUGCAUAUAUACAAAGCAAUACCAAACUUCAUAACGCCAGCUCAAUAUAUAAAAUACGUAUUGAAUCUUAUAAGAGUUAUUUCUUAUCAUCAAAUAUUUAUAGUAAUAUGGAAAACUCAUUUGAAUCACCAUCAAAAGUCAAGUAUCAAUGGUUGAAUCCAUUGAAUAAUCUCCAUCAAAAACACAUAUCAAUGGCCUAUCCAUUGAUUAAUCUUUUGCUCAAUAACUAACCAUGGUCACGACACAACGCCUUGUGACAAGGCAACCAAGAUUCUCCCUUUGGCAAGGUUUCCACCUACAAAGCCGGUGGCUGAGCCCAGAAGGAUAUCAUAAACCUGGUAUGUAUACCCCAAAUUGAGCAUAAAUAACCAUUCUCCAAUACCAGAAAUCCAAUCCAAAAAUCAAUAUCUUAAACCAAACAAAUAACAUUUUGCAACAUAGCCCAUCAUCCAUUUCAUACUCAUUUCUCAAAUCAUUAAAUCUUUCCAUAAAUCAGUUGCAAAGCAAUUUCAUAUAUGUUUCUUCACAAACCUUGUAUAACGUGCUUUUCAAAGAUUCACAAUCAACCAAAGGGUAGCAAUUGUUCGAUCUGGCUUUUAUGCAAUAAAAAUGCUCUUCUCAAUUCAAUACAUAUACAUAUACAUAUAUAUAUAUACUUCAAGACAUGAUUUUAUAAAACCAAAGAAAAUAUAGUACUACUCACCUUGUCGUCUAUGACCAAACGACAAAUGAUACUUGCAUCGUCGAACUCAAGGCCCUAUCAAAUAACCGAAGAAUAAUGUUAAAAUCUAAUAAAAUUUUAUCUCGACUACAAAAUGACUAAGUUACACCUUAACUCUAACAAAAGGACUUCUGCGUGCUAACAAGUUGCAUAACCAAAGCGAUUGUUCAAGCCAUUCGCAACAUGAAGUUUAAGCGCAAAACUUGAUCGAGCCUUAACUCUCUCUUCCAAACCCCGAUCCAAACGUACUUAUAGUCAAUAGAGAGCCCUUGACACAUAUUGCAAGAAUCUCAACUUCACCGUCCCAAAAUCAAGCCAAAAAAUGACAAAAUACGGGCCAAAGCUGCUGGACGCGUACUGUUCACUGCGCACGGAAAACUUUGAAAUUUUGUUUCGGACAAACCAUAAGCUCAAAUCAUGAUCCGUAAAAUCUCACGGCUCCACAACACCCUAAACUACCAUUUCUACAAAAAUAUGCGGCUCAACGACUCUAAAAUCAGAUUUCGCCGCUCAAUUUUCCAAAAAUUUCGAAUUUGAGUCCCAAAUUCAAAAAUUACUUCAAUUGGAUGAACGAGGGACUCGAUCUCUUACCGGAUGCUGCGUUAUGGAGUCGAGUCGGCUUGGUGAGGUAUCCGAGGCGUGCACAUGCCAAAACUCCUUUCCUUUCUUCCCCUUUCUCUUCUUCUUCUUCUUCUUCUUCUUCUUCUUCUUCUUCUUCUUCUUCUUCUUUUCUUUCUUUUCUUUUUGGUCGAGGAAACUCUCAGCUUCUAUUUAGCCGAGCCCUCUCCCAUCUCUUUUUUCUUUUUUCUUUUUUAUUGCGUUUUUAGCUUUUCGACUUCUUUUUCCGUUUCUUCUUUUGGGGCCUUUAAAACUUCUUUUUCUGUUUCUUCUUUUGGGGCCCACUAGCCUAAUGUUACAUGGCCCAUCAGGCAUCGGGUUUGAAGAGUAGGUUAUUAGGAUCUUGAGUUCUUUCCUUGAUAUCUUGAGUCCUGAAUAUGGGAAUGGUGUUGGUGGUGGUGGAAGUCAAAUCAGAUUCUAGAAAAUGUUGAGUCCUUUCAAGUGGCGGAAAUUUAUUUCCAAAAUCUGAGUGAAGAUUUCUAAUGGAUUAAAAAAAUUCUAUAUUAAAUCAUGUUUCUAAACAACGUCAAAAGGCAAAAGAUGAAGCAGGUAUUUUACCAGCUAAUUUCCGACAAGACAAACGGCUCAAACGUAAUUCAUUAUGCAGAAGCUCCCUGAGACAAAAGGAUCACUUGAUUUUUUAUGGUUCGUUCUCAAAGCAGAUAUGUUCCAGACUUUUUACAAAGAUCAAUUGAUCAAGCGUAUUGGGAAAGUGAGCUUCAAUGAGCUUUAGAGUUUUGACCAUUGAAAAGGGGAAUUUUUUUUUUUGGUAAGGUUGAAAAGGGGAAUUUUUCUAUAUCAAUCAUCUUGAAGUUGGCAUAGGGUGUUUCUAUCAGUUACUCAAAUCUCUUUUAGCUAUUGUUGAAGCAAGCGUCAUUUGACUUGAUUGGUCGAAUUAGGCGGAAUCCACACGUGUAAUCACCUCACCUUCGUGUUCUUUUGGACUUACCCAAUGAAGCACAUAUUUCUAUUUCUCCAGCAAUUAUCUAAUGCACAUGGUGUCACACCUUAAAACUACAAAGAAUGGGGAUGACACGGUCGUCCUUCUUUACAAAGGACGCAGCCUCAAACACAACCAACAGACUGAUAUUAACUUAUAUAUCUCAAACCAUAUAUUUAUCAGAUAAACCAACAAAUUGGUUGCAACAUCAGAGUCUCUAUAAUCCACCAAAAAGAGAAAAUAGAUAUACGUUUAAAACUCAGACGAUCCAACUACUAGUAAGUAUCAUUUGCACCACUUCCUUAAACCAUAUCAAAAACAAAAUAGAACUCCCCAAAAGUUUCCUACUGAUGGCACACUCGCUCUAUUCGCCGCUAACUGAGGAACCUGAAAAGAUUAAAGGAGGAGUGGAAUGAACAACAAUAGCUCAGUGAGUAGUACAUAUCUUCUAAGCAGAUUGAACUACCACUAUACAUGUAUACAAAGCAAUACCAAACUUCAUAACGCCAACUCAAUAUAUAAAAUACAUAUUGAAUCUUAUAUGAGUUAUUUCUUAUCAUCAAAGUUUUAUACUAAUAUGGAAAACUCAUUUAAAUCGCCAUCAAAAGUCAAGUAUCAAUGGUUGAAUCCAUUGAAUAAUCUCCAUCAAAAACACAUAUCAAUGGUCUAUCCAUUGAUCAAUCUUUUGCUCAAUAACUAACCAUGGUCACGACACAACGUCUUGUGACAAGGCGACCAAUAUUCUCCCAUUGGCAAGGUCUCCACCUACAAAACUGAUGGUUGGGCCUAGAAGGAUAUUCUAAACUUGGUAUGCAUACCCCAAAAACCCCUCACUGGGUUCACAAUUAUAUUGAGCAUAAAUAACCAUUCUCCAAUACUAGAAAUCAAAUCCAGAAAUCGAUAUCUUAAACCAAAUAAAUAACAUUUUGCAACAUAGCCCAUCAUCCAUUUCAUAUCCGUUUCUCAAAUCAUCAUAAACAUUUUCAUAAAUUAGUCACAAAGCAAUUUCAUAUAUGUUUCUCCAGAAACCUUGUAUAACAUGCUUUUCAAACAUUCACAAUCAACCAAAGAGUAGCAAUUGUUCGAUAUGGCUUUUUAUGUAAUAAAAAUGCUCUUCUUGAUUCAAUAUAUAUACAUACAUACUUCAAGACACGAUUUUAUAAUACCAAAGAAGAUAUAAUACCACUCACCUCGUCGUCUACGACCAAACGACAAACGAUACUUGUAUCGUCGAACUCAUGGCCCUAUCAAAUAACUGAAGAAUAAUGUUAAAAUAUAAUAAAAUUCUAUCUCGACUACAAAAUGACUAAAUUAUGCCUUAACUCUAACAAAAGGACUUCUACGCGCUAACAAAUCGCAUAACCAAAGCGAUUGUUCAAGCCAUUCGCAACACGGAGUUUAAGCACAAAACUUGAUCGCGCCUUAACUUUCUCCUUCGAAUCCUAAUCCGAACAUAUUUAUAGUGAAUAGAGAGCCCUUGACACAUAUUACAAGAAUCCCAACUUGACUGUCCCAAAAUCAAGCCGAAAAAUGACAAAAUAUGGGCCCGAAGCUGCUGGAUGCGUACUGUUCACUCGCGCGGGAAACUUUGAAAUUUUGUUUCGGACAAACCAUAAGCUCAAUCACGAUCCAUAAAAUCCCAUGGCUCCACAACACUCUAAACUUCAAUUCCUACAAAAAUACACGGCUUAGCGACUCCAAAAUUAGACUUCGCGCUCGAUUUUCCAAAAAUUGAAUUUGAGCCCUAAAUCCAAAAAUUACUUCAAUUGGACGAACGAGGGGCCUAAUCUCUUACCAGGUGCUGCGUUAUGGAGUCGAGUUGGCUUGGCGAGGCGUCUGAGGCGUGCACGUGCCAAAACCCCUUUCCUUCCUUCCCCUUUCUUUUCUUCUUCUUCUUCUUCUUCUUCUUCUUCUUCUUUUCUUUAUGGUCGAGGGCCCUCGAGGGCCCUCAGCUUCUAUUUAACCAAACCCUCUCCCCUCUCCUUUUUGCUUUAUCGGCUUUUUAGCUUCUUUUUCUAUUUCUUCUCUUGGGGCCCACUAACAUAAUAUUACACAUGGGAUGGGGGUACUAACACAUCUAAUAGGGAUGGGAUUAGUUGGGCACGCAAAAAGUCCUAGAAAUCCAUUGCUACAACAAAAGAAUUCGAGGAAUUUGAAACAAGUGACUUUUCCUUUGUCUAGCUUGAAGAGAGAUUCUUCUAUGCCUCAUGAAUGUGACAUUCCUAUUCAUCAAAAUCAAUCACCACAUGUUGAUUAUUGUAAAUUGCCUUAUUUUCUUUUAAAAUUAAAAAAAAAUUGCAUAGACAAUGACUAGAUUGAUUGGUCAGAUCAUCGUUAAAUUGCUUCCUCAAUAGGUGCAUUGAUUGUUGAUCCUAAACUAAACUUAAGAGCUUACACUUCUUUGUGCACACAAAGUUUCAAUCUCUUAUGAACUUGAUAAUAAUGGUCAUAGAACUAUAAAGUUUUUUUUUUAAUUGAGAGGUGUUGAAAAUAAUAGUCACCAACAACAGUAGGCACAUCAAAAGAAGUCUCUAUGGGAAGGUUACACCAUUGUUCCAAAUUCUAAUCUUGAUUAAUGAUGUGACAUCUUCAUUGGGUCUUGAAGUGUCUGUUUAAUUCUCUUUGCUCCAUAGCUAGCAUAUACUAAUUCAAUUUGGAUCAACCGGUUUUACGACUAGAGUGCAAAACGGAAAGAUGAAAUAUAGAUGCCCCUCGGAGAUACCCUAAUUAUAAAUUUCCAAUCAUAACAUUAGGCAAGAUAAAAAUUUGCCAAAUUGAUUGUGACAACCUCUAUAGGGAAUAGAUAAAAAUGCCCUAAUUGUGCACACGACAAAAUGAUUGCCCCCAUCACUAGACAUGGACGGCCCAAUGUUUUACAAUAUUUUACCAGCUAAUUUCCAGCAAGACAAACGGCUCAAACGUAAUUCAUUGUGCAGAAGCUCCCCGAGAUAAAGGGAUCACUUGAUUUUUUCUGGUCCGUUCUCAAAGCAGAUCUGUUCCAGACAAUCAAUUGAAUAUCCACGUAAUUAAGUGAAAUAGUGGCUUUUGUCUCAAUUUUACUGGUUUUCCUAAAUUAUCCAUAUAUGAAAUAUUAAAGAGUAAAAAAAAGAUAUAAAUUACAUUUUUGAUAAUAUCCCACCUUCAUUUGGUUCCUCCCGUAACUAUCCAUUUGCACCUACUCUUAUAUUGACUGACAAGAAAGUUAUGUUGUACCAAAAAGCACCAUCUCUUUAACCCACUGUCUGCACCUUUGACAGUCACAUGGAAUUCUCUUCUAUGAUCUCCGCUUCUUAUCAUCAUUCUCUUAUUAUUUUUAACGACGAAAUUCACUCUAUGACUGAAAUUUUAUCAACUUACAAAUAUUACUCAUGUAUAUUACAAAAUUCAAAUUAAAAUAAGCAUCACGAUUAUUAAGCCCGCGCACGCACGGUGCGUACAAACAAUCACCCAAUUCCAUGCACAUACAUAGCUCCUUUUUAAGCCAAAGAGAAGAGAGAAUCACUUGCAUCUUGAUUGAGUUGUUGUUACGAUACACGGACGCGUAAGCUCUAUGCUUUUCUCGUUAUGAAGGUUGAACUUCCUUAAAAGAUUACAUUAUCAUCUUCUGGUUUAGGUACUUAUUAUUGCCCUAUUGGUGAAUUAGCUGAUGCUUUUCUCCGCGUCGUCAGGAUAUAAUAUGCACAUAUUAACGUCAUGACAGGGACAACUGAUUUGUCUCCAAUCCGGCGACUUCCAUAUCGCUGAACUUGGACGUGAACUUUGGCACCCUUACAGUAGUUGUUGGAAUAGUCUAAUGACAAGAACCUGGAUUGGUCCGAAUUGAUUGAUUUGGCUUCUCUAGGAGCCAGCCCUUGAAUUAAAGUCUAUCAACCCCAGGCGUAGACUUAUAUUAGUCGAUCCAAGCUGAAAUUGAAGUGUCCCGUUCAUAGAUUGCAUUAGCAUGUCGGGACUCCAACAGCCGGCGAUUAGCUGGAUUCCUAAGAAAGAUCCAGCAGCAUAUUGUGACUGGUUGAUAAUGGCUCAAGGAAUUUCCAAACAAAAGCAAAGCAUAUGAUGGGCCAUUUGUCUCUUGGGGAUUGGACAUUGCUGAUUUUUUUUUUCUAAGAUCUUUAUGUUGGAGAUUUCGAAGUCGUUAAUUUUCAGAAUAUGUGUUUAGCAUUUCUUAAUUCAACUUUUCAAAUAAGCUAAAAGUCAUUUUGAGACCUUUGUAUUUCCAAACUAUUUUUUGAGAUCCAAGUUUAGCGCACAUCGAAUUAUCCAUAUCUAUAGACCUUGAUCCUUGUGCCAAGAACCAAGGAGAGUGGCGUAUUAGCUGUGGACUAGGAUCCUUAUGUGGAUGAUCCAGGGUCAAUUUACACAUCCAUGUAUUGGAAUCUCUAGGCUCCCGAGAUUAUAUAUGAGGCACUAAGUAGGACACCGAGGUCUCGUCUUGCCUUGUUGUCUAGUGGCGUGUGUUGGGGUCUCAGGUUCAAGGCACUGACGUUCUUAAUCCAAGAGGUCUUGAGACUAAGCAUUGAAGUCUCGAAUUUGAUCCAUAAGGGCGUGUUUGGUAACGUUUCUGUUGCCCGGAACAAUUUCUAAGCAUUUUAAGCUGUUUGGUAACUGUCCAAAAUUUCAAUUCUCAGAAUAGAAUUGCGUUUAGUAUAGUGCUCAAAAUUUCUACUCCAAAUCAUUUUCUUUUAAUUUUAAAUUUUUUUAAAUUUUUUUUCCUUUUUUCUUCUUUUCUUUUUUCCCUUUCUUUCUCAUAUUCUUCUUCUUCAAGUGGCCAAUUGUCAACAGGUUGGUCGGCGACUGGCUAGACGAGAGUUGGCAACCUCACCGGAGCGUUGCCAACCCUUGGCGAGGACGGCCAUUGUCGGCCGAGCCUCGCUGGCAGCUGGGCAAGGCUCGGCCGAGCCUCAGCGGGGCUGGGGGAGGCCUGCUUGGCCACCGACGAGGCUCGCCCAGCCCCUUCGAGCCUCAUCGAACUAGUUGCUGGUGAUUGGCGACGGUGGGCGGCGGAUGGCGAACGGCAACCACGACGGUGGCAGUAGAUGAAGAAGAAGAAAAGGGAAGAAGAACAAGAAAAAAGAAAAAAAAAAGAGAAAUUGAUUUUAGAAUUGUUCCCAAGAACAAUAAUCAACCUUUUUUAUUUUUAUUUUUAUUUAUUCUUGAUUCUGUUCCAAAUCUACUUUUGGGAACAAAAAAAUAGAAAUUUGUUUCCGAGAAUAAAAUUUUUACUAAACACGAUUCUAUUCCAAAAUUGCUCAUGGGAACAAAAGAAUAGAAAUUUUUACUAUUUGGCCAGUUAGGGUCUGUUUGGUAACCAUCCCAACAGUGCCAAAUUCUGAUUCUUUGUUCCCGGAAUCAGUUUCGGCCUAGAAUCGCGUUUGGUAAAUUUUUUGUUCCCGGGAACAGAUUGGGAAUAGAAUCAAGAAUAAAAAAAAAGUUUNNNNNNNNNNNNNNNNNNNNNNNNNNNNNNNNNNNNNNNNNNNNNNNNNNNNNNNNNNNNNNNNNNNNNNNNNNNNNNNNNNNNNNNNNNNNNNNNNNNNUCUUCAAGUGGCCAAUUGUCAACAGGUUGGUCGGUGACUGGCUAGACGAGAGUUGGCAACCUCACCGGAGCGUUGCCAACCCUUGGCGAGGACGGCCAUCGUUGGCCGAGCCUCGCUGGCAGCUGGGCAAGGCUCGGCCAAGCCUCAGCGGGGUUGGGGGAGGCCCGCUUGGCCACCGACGAGGCUCGCCUAGCCCUUUUGAGCCUCACUGAACUAGUUGCUAGUGAUUGGUGAUGGUGGGCGGCGGAUGGCGAACGGCAACCACGGCGGUGGCAGUAGAUGAAGAAGAAGAAAAGGGAAGAAGAACAAGAAAAUAAAAAGAGAAAUUGAUUUUAGAAUUGUUCCCAAGAACAAGAAUCAACCUUUUUUAUUUUUAUUUUUUUAUUCUUGAUUCUGUUCCAAAUCUACUUUCGGGAACAAAAACAUAGAAAUUUAUUUCUGAGAACAAAAUUUUUACUAAACACGAUUCUAUUCCAAAAUUGCUCAUGGGAACAAAAGAAUAUAAAUCGUUACCAAACGCGCCAUUAGCAAACAUGACCUAAGCAAGCACCCAAAGGUCAUGGGUCUGGGCAACUGGGACCUAAGUCCAACCACAAGGUUCUAUGUUUGGUAGCCAAAGUCUCAUCUCUUCAUGGAUUCAACGGUUUGAGUUUUGAGUUAAGAUGCUGAAGGCUUGGUUCAACCCUAGGUGCUAGGGACGGCGCUCAUUGUUCCCAAGUUGAUGACAUGGGAUGCAUGUUUUUAAAUAUUAUGAUUUUUAUUUAUUCUCUUGUCUUUCUUUAUUUUAGAAAUUAUUUUAGGAUACUGGAUGAUUUGUUUCAAUAGUUAUCAUUUACAUAUUUAAGAUAUCGUGGGAUAGAAUUUCUUAUUAGUUUACAUAUUUCCUAUUAUGAAAUUAGAAUUUCCUAAGUGUUUUAGAUAUAAAUAUGCAUUGUGUUUUUCUUGUAAUUUGGCUUAUUUAUUGAUGAAUAAAGGAAAAUUUUCAAAUGAGGGCAUAUGGUGCUCUCAUUUUCUCAAAUAAGUGCCCGAAGUAGCCGUUAUUUUAAAUAAGGGCUAGAAAAAAAAUGAAUUGACCAAAUUCUCUCGAAUAAGGACUUUUGGCUAGCCAUUGACUAUUCUGUCAUUGGAGAAAGGGUAUUUUAGUAAAAAAAAAAUUCUAAGUAUAUAUUUUUUAUUUUUCUCUCCUUGCCAUGCCUCAAGUGAGGGUUGCCUUUGCUGGCGUUGGGUGAGGGUGAAGGUUGCCCUUGUUAGCCCAAGUGAGGCGAUCCUUGCCCAAUGCUGGGGAGGAGGAGCCGUUGCUUGAGUCCAGCAACUUGAUGGAAAAUGGGGAAAAAAGAAAAAGAAAAUAACAAAAAAAAGAAAAAAAAAAAGGAAUUUUUGUAAAGAUGAAAAUGCCUUUCAAUCAGCAAGGUUAGCCUCUUCUUUGAGACCAAUAUGGCUACUUUAGGUAUUUAUAUGAAACAAUUUCACUUCAAGCUCUUAUUUGAGAAAAUUAUAGCACUUCAAGCCCUUAUUUAAAAUAAAGUCUACUUUAGGCCAUUAUAUGAGAGAAAAAAAAAAAGGAACACUUUAAGCCCUUAUUUGGAAUUUUCCCAUGAUUUAAUGGAAAAAUAGUGAGGUUUUCUUUGUAGCAUUUCGUGUAUGUGCAUCAAAAUGCAUAUCAUGAGUGUUUACUUGUGUUAAGGAAUUCCCAUAUAUGCUAUCACUCAUUUAGGUUAUGUUGGGCUAUCAUAGGUGUUGUCUAGGCAUCACUUGUCUAGCAGUAGUGCUUGUUCAACACUUGUUGCUCCAUAGCUUGCAUAUAAACUAAUUCGAUUUGGAUCACCAUUGGGUUUUUAUUUCUUAACCAUACCAAUUUGCUUCUUAAAUUCACCAAUUUAUCGAAAGGUUGAAAAAAUAAAAUCCAUGCCUAAUAAUUAGGGAAAAUAAAAGUUUAAUAUCAUCUCUGGUAGGAGCUGGAUUUAUAGUGCCACUAGUGAGCAAUUUCACCCAAAAGAACAUGUUUAAUUGAGAAACCUUGAACCGACACAAACAAGGAAAGGAUUACCCACAAAGGGCAAGACAGAAAAGGUGAAAUAUAGACUCCACCUUAAAAAAAAAAACCCAAUUAUAGAUUCACCAUCAUAGCAUCCAGCCAAAAGAUGGAAAAAGGAAGGAACCCCAUCGAUUGCGACAAUCACCAUCGGAAAAUAGAUAAGCUUCGCACAACUUGUGCACUCCACAAAAUGAUUGCGCCCAUCACAAGUUAUGGAGCGCCCCAAUGUCAACAUCUUUAGGGCUAGAACGGCUUAAUUGAUAAGAAAUCAUCUUGAUUAUCAUCAAGACAACGUUGGCCUAAGAAAUCGAGUCUGAUUGGGAUUUGGAAAAAAAAUGCAUAUAUUCGCGUCGAUAAUGAAAUUUUACGCGCGUGGGUAACAUUUUCAAUGGUGGGAUUGGUGUAGGUCUGCGCAUCCAGAAAUGAUUGUCACGACAAUGAGUCUUUAUCUUGAUAUUGAUUAAGUUUAACGAGUUUUUAUAAAGAGUCAAAUGAUUUUUUUUUUUUUUAAAGCAAAGGAUUAAUCAUUAUUUGAUGCCUAGGGGGCCGGCAAACACAGAGAACGAGGAGACAUCGCCAUAGAAAAAGUUGGUACCUUGAUUUGAUGGAUUUUUUCAUACUACGCACAUCAACCGUUCACGUACUCCAAAGGCGGGGCCUCUCAUGCUCCGAGUCAUGAAAUACCCACAAGAAUUUAUUUGCUUUGUCACUAUAUUAUUUAUCACCUAUGUAUGUAUUUAUGCAUCAACAUAGGUGAAAAUCAUCAUAUAUAAACCGAACCACUAUGAGUCAAAUCAUUUCAUACAUAUAUAUAUAUAUAUAUAUAUAUAUAUAUAUAUAUAUAAAGUAUGUUUGUUUUGUGAUUUUUGUUCUAUUAAGUUAAUGUAACAUGUACAAAAGGCGAUCGUCCGACGAGUUUGAGAUUUUACAAAACACAAGCUAAAUUGUUCCCUCUAGUCAAUUUCAAAAGAGUUGGAAUAUUGCAAACUUAACGAAUUUUUAUUUUCUUCGAAAAACAGAACACCAUUUGUCCGCACAACAAGAGGAGACAUUACCAAAUUUUGUGGACAUGCUUUGUCCGAGACCCAGCCCAUGUCCAGCAGCCCAGAUUGUGAUGGGUCCAGCCUGGACAGGCCCAUGGGGUGGCUGAUGGGCCUUGUCAAACACUAUUCAGUUGCUCUCCUAAGCUACAUAAACGAUCAACGAUAAAAUUCAAUGUCACAGGACAAGUUUCUGUCGGGCACAAUGCAAAUAAUGAGGUCCUAGAAUUAUAUAAUUGCUUUUGAGAUGCGAAGUUCUCAUUUAUCUAAAUCAAUCGUAGCAUGGCAAGUGUUACCAACUUCCUUAUCUUCUUUCAAGAUUAAUAAUAGUAUUUUUCCACAUGAUGAUCCACUUGGAUGGAUUGAAAUGUCAUACUUUGAGAGCACAUAAUUUUUUUUUUAGUAGAUAGAUAUUUUAUUCCUUCUCCUGUUUGCAUUCUAAUAUAAAAAUAUGAAUGCCGCUACCCAAUAUGCUUUCCACUUAAUGAUUGGAGCGUUGAUCUUGUUGUAAAUGCUAGAUCAUCAACUAGGCCGUCUUAAUAAAGAUUAGUUGAAGUUUGCUAUACUUAAGCUCUUUGUGAGGUGCCCAAAACGAGCUCCAAAUUGCAUAAAGACCUUCGACACGAGCCUGUAAUUUGAAGAGACAGUCGACGUGACCCCAAGUUUUGUAUAUUUGUAAUCUUAACGCAUGUAUGUUGUGGACCUACUUGGUCACAUCCCAUAUGCUUGGGUUCUGUCAUGUUCAAUUGGAUGUCACCAUAUCCAAGUUUGUCAUAGCUGUCGACCUAGACUAGGUAAGAACCACAUCAAUUUGCUUCAGUCGGUCGUGAGUAAAUUAUGAGCUGGGAUAAAUGCAAGUGAAUCUCAAGUGAUGCACUGGAGAAAAUAUUUGGAAAUGCCAUCGAACCUCACCUUUUGUCACUUCUAAGUAGUUAUUGAAUGAUCGGGAACGCCUUCUGUCACACCCGAAAACUACAAGAAUGGGGGAUGACACAGCCGUCUAUCCACACGAGGGACGUAGCCUCAAACACAACCAAUAAACUGAUAUCAACUUUUAUAUAUAUAUAUAUAUCUCAAUUAUAUAUAUACAUAUCAGCUAAAUCAAUAAAUUGGUUGCAACAUCAAAGUUUCUAUAAUCCACCAGAAAAGAUAUACGUUUAAAACUUAGACAAUACAACCACUAGCAAGGAUCAUAUGCACCACUUCCUUAAACCAUACCAAAGAAAAUAAAAAUAGGACUCCCUAAAAGUUUCCUACCAACGGCCCUCUCGCUCUAUACGCUGCUAACCGAGGAACUUGAAAAGAUUAAAGGAGGAGUGGGAUGAGCAACAACAGCUCAGUGAGUAGUACAUAUCUUCUAAGCAGAUCGAACAACCAUUAUGCAUGUAUAUAAAGUAAUACCAAACUUCAUAACGCCAACUCAAUAGAUAAAAUACAUAGCAAAUCUUAUAAGAGUUAUUUCUUAUCAUCAAAGCUUAAUAAUAAUAAUAUGGAAAACUCAUUUAAAUUGCCAUCAAAAGUCAAGUAUCAAUAGUUGAAUCCAUUGAAUAAUCUCCAUCAAAAACACAUAUCAAUGGUCUAUCCAUUCAUUCAUCUCAUAUCAAACACACAUCGAUGGUCUAUCCAUCGACCAAUCUUUUGUUCAAUAACUAACUAUGGUCAUGACACAACGCCUUGUGACAAGGCGAUCAAGAUUUCCCCUUGGCAAGGUCUCUACCUACAAAGUCGAUGGCUGGGCCCAGAAAGAUAUCCCAAACCUAGUAUGCAUACCCCAAAAAGCCCUCACUGGGUUCACAGUCAUAUUGAGCAUAAAUAACCAUUCUCCAAUACUAGAAAAUCAAAUUCAGAAAUCAAUAUCUUAAACCAAAAAAAUAACAUUUGCGGCAUAGCCCAUCAUCCAUUUUAUAUCCAUUUCUCAAAUCAUCAUAAACCUUUUCAUGAAUCAAUCACAAAGCAAUUUCAUAGAUAUUUCUCCACUUACUUUGUAUAAUACACUUUUCAAACAUCCACAAUCAACCAAUGAGUAGCAAUUGCUUGACCUGGCUUUUAUGCAAUAAAAAUGCUCUUCUCAAUUCAAUAUAUAUACAUAUAUAUAUAUAUAUAUAUAUAUAUAUAUAUAUAUAUAUAUAUAUAUAUACUUCAAGACAUGAUUUUUACAAAACCAAAGAAGAUAUAGUACCACUCACCUCGUCCUCUACGACCAAAUGACGAACGAUACUUGUGUCGUCGAACUCAAUGCCCUAUCAAAUAACCAAGAAAAAUGUUAAAAUCUAAUAAAACUCUAUCUCAACUACGAAACAACUAAAUUACGCCUUAACUCUAACAAAAGGAUUUCUACUCGCUAACAAUUUGCAUAACCAAAACUAUUGUUCAAGCCAUUUGUGACGCGGAGUUUAAGCGCAAAACUUAGUUACGCAAUAACUUUCUCCUUCGAACCCCGUUCCGAACGUACUUAUGGUCAAUAAAGAGCCCUUGACACAUAUUACAAGAAUCCCAACUUGACUGUCCCAAAAUCAAGCAAAAAGAUGACAAAAUACGGGCCCAAAGCUGCUGGACGCGUACUAUUCAUUGCGCGCGAGAAACUUUGAAAUUUUGUUUUGGAAAAACUUAUAAGCUCAAAUCAUGAUCCAUAAAAUCCCACGGCUCCACAACCCCUAAACUACCAUUCCUACAAAAAUACACGGCCUAACGACUCCAAAAUCGGACUUCGCUGCUCAAUUUUCCAAAAAUUCCGAAUUUGAACCCUAAACCUAUAAACUGCUUCAAUUGGACGAAUGGGGGGCCUGAUCUCUUACCGGGUGCUGCAUUAUGGGGUCGAGUUGGCUUGGUGAGACAUCUGAGGCGUGCAUGUGCCAAAACUCCUUUCCUUUCUCCUUCUUCUUCUUUUUUUUUUUUUUUUUGGUUGAGGACCCCUCAGCUUCUAUUUAACCGAGCCCUAACUUUUCAACUUCUUUUUAUAUUUUUUCUUUUGGGGCCCAGUAGCCAAAUAUUACAUUCUACCUUCCUAAAAAAAAAAUUCGUCCUCGAAAUUUACAUGUACUUCAAUCAUAAAACAAGUGAGGGUAUUUGUGUCAUGCCUCCUCCUCAAGUUCCCAAGUAGCCUCUCUCUCGGUGUGGUUUUGCCAUUGUAUUUUCACAUAAGGAAUAGUUCGUCGCCGCAACACCUGAUCCUUCUUAUCGACAAUGCAAAUAUGUUGUUCCUCAUAUGUCAAGUUCUCCCGUAAUCUCAAUGGAGUAAAGUCUAGCACAUGUUCAGGAUUUGCACAUAUUUCCGCAACAAAGAGACAUGGAACACAUUAUGGACACCUGAUAGUGCCGGUGGCAAAGCUAAUUUAUAAGCGACUUCACCAAUUUUCUCUAAGAUCAAGAAUGGUCCCAUGUACCUUGGACUUAACUUCCCACGUGUGUCAAAUCUCGUUACACCCUUCGUAGGAGAAACUUUUAAGAACAUGUGAUCCCCCACAUUAAAUUCUAACUUGUGUCUUUUUAGAUCAGCAUAACUUUUCUGACGAUUUUGAGCCGUUCUGAGACGUUCUCGAACCAACCUAACUUUCUCUUCUGACUGCUGGAUGAACUCAGAGCCAGUUAGUCUUUUCUCACCAACGUCAUCCCAAAAAAUAGGACUUCUACAUUUUCGCGCCAUCUUAAUACUGGAGUGAUAAUUGUUGUUAUAAGAAAAUUCUGCCAAAUAUAGAUGUUCAUCCCAAGAACCGCCAAAGUCAAUGAUGCAUGAUCUCAACAUAUCCUCUAAUGUCUGGAUCGUUCUCUCUGAUUGUUCAUCUGUUUGUGGAUGAAAAGCUAUACUUAAGUUGAGUUUAGUGCCCAAUGUUGCUUGCAAACUCUUCCAAAAGUUAGACACGAACCUAGGAUCCCUAUCAGAAACAAUGCUUACAGGAACUCCAUGAAGCUUCACUAUCUCAUUAACAUAUCGCCUUGCCAUAUCUUCCAUUGAAAGACCAAAUUGAUAUGACAAAAAGUGAGUGGACUUAGUUAAUCAAUCACUGUUCACCCAAAUAGAAUUCCUACCACUUGGCGUCCUCGGUAGACCAACUACAAAGUCCAUGGCAAUAUGCUCCCACUUCCAUUUAGGUAUCUUUAGAGGUUGCAACUAUCCACCUGGUUUAUGAUGUUCAAUUUUCACUGGCUGAUAAACUAAACAUUGAUCAACAAAUUUUAUAAUAUCAUUUUUCAUGUUGAUUCACCAAAAGUUUUUUCUCAAGUCCCUAUACAUUUUAGUGCUUCCCGGAUGAAUUGAAAAUCUAGUACUGUGAGCUUCUUGCAGGAUCUCCUUUUUUUAGCUUUGAGUCCUCAGGAACACAUAGUCGACCACGAAACAUCAAGGAUCCAUCUAUAUGUAAACUAAAUCUGCUUGUCUUCUAGCUUCCACAGCUUCUCUAAUUUUUUGUAAUUGUGGAUCUUCAUUCUGUUUAGCCUUAAUUAUGUUAAUCAACAUAGGUUGUACUUGAAGAUUAGCUAAUUGAGCACCAAGCUGCUGCACCAACACCUCUAAGUCUAACUUCCUCAUAUCUUCAAGAAUGGGUUUUUAAGAAGUGAGCAAAGCUACCAUAUUUCCAAAGGAUUUACGACUUAAAGCAUCCGCUACCACAUUAGCCUUACCCGGAUGGUAAUUAAUGGAUAAGUCAUUAUCCUUCAAAAGUUCUAACCAUCUUCUUUGCCUCAUGUUCAGUUCUUUCUGAGUAAAAAUAUACUUUAGACUCUUGUGAUCGGUAAAGGCUUCACAUUUUUCACCAUACAAAUGAUGCCACCAUAUCUUCAAGGCAAACACAACCGCCGCUAACUCCAAAUCAUGAGUGGGGUAGUUCUUCUCAUGUAAUUUCAAUUGUCUAGAAGCAUAGGUAACAACUUUGCUAUUUUGCAUAUGAACACAACCCAAACCUUCUUUGGAUGCGUCGCAAUAGAUUAUGAAGCCACCACUUCCAAAAGGUAGAGUUAGAAUAGGAGCCGACACCAGCCGUCUCUUCAACUCUUGAAAACUGCGUUCACAUUGGUCUGACCAUUCAAAUUUAACUUUCUUCUGGGUUAGACGGGUAAGUGGACUAGCAAUCUUUGAGAAUCCCUCUACAAAUCGCUUAUAGUAGCCGGCUAGCCCAAGAAAACUUCUCACUUCUAUAACAUUAGUUGGACGAUUCCACUUAACAACUACUUCAACCUUCUUUGGAUCCACUAAUAUGCCAUCCUUCGAGAUCACGUGACCCAAGAAUUCUAUAUGAUCAAGCCAAAAAUCACACUUACUAAAUUUGGCAUACAACUUCUUUUCAUGUAAAGUCUGCAAGACAAACCUCAAGUAUUGUUCGUGUUCCUCUAAACUCUUUGAAUACACUAGGAUGUCAUCAAUGAACACCAUAAUAAAUUUGUCUAGAUAUUCGUUGAACACUUUGUUCAUCAAGUCCAUGAAGGCAACAAGCGCAUUUGUUAAUCCAAAAGGCAUGACGAGAAAUUCAUAAUGGCCAUACCUUGUUCUAAAAGCAGUUUUAGGCACAUCAUCUAUUUUUAUCUUCAACUGAUGAUACCCAUAACGAAGGUCAAUCUUGGAAAAUACCUGAGCUCCCUGAAGUUGAUCAAAUAAAUCCUCAAUCUGAGGCAAAGGAUAUUUGUUUUUAACCGUUACCUUGUUAAGCUCUUGAUAAUCUAUGCAAAGCUACAUACUACCAUCCUUCUUUUUCACAAAUAGAACAGGAGCUCCCUAAGGCGAAACACUAGGUCUGAUGAAACCCUUAUCUAAAAGCUCUUCAGUUGCGUUUUCAAUUCUUUCAAUUUAGUGGGUGCCAUCCGAUAUGGUGCCUUAGAGAUUGGUGCUGUACCGGGCAUCAAUUCAAUACAAAACUCAAUUUCUCUAUCAAGAGGCAAUCCUGGUAAAUCCUCAGGAAACACACUUGGAAACUCUCUAACGACAGGAACAUCUUCCAACUUUACUACAACCUUAUGUGUGUCUUUUACACAAGCUAAAUAACCACAACAACCCUUUCUCAAAAGUUUCCUUGCUUGCAAAGCCGAGAUCAACCUUGGAGAAGUGUUUUGACAACUUCUCGAAAAAGAGAAUUCGGGUUGAUUCGAAAAUCUAAAUAUCACUUUUUUUGAAAAACAGUCAACAAUAGCACGAUAGGUAGAUCACCAAUCCAUUCCUAUAAUAACAUCGAAAUCUCGAAUAUUUAACUUUACUAGAUCCAGAGGCAUUUCAACAUUAUUAAUCUGAAUCACACAUCUCUUGAACACAUGAUGAACAACUAAGAAAUCGCCAGUAGGAGUAUCAACACACAAUUCACAUUCAAGAGGGUCAGGCAACACAUCAAGCUUCUUUGCAAAUUCAGUUGAAAUGAAGAAGUGCGUAGCACCAGGAUCAAAUAAGGCAUAAGCACAUUGUGAGGCAAUAGAAAUAUUACCUGCAACAAUUGCGUUAGAUGCUGCCGCAUCCUCCUUCGUCAUCGCAAAAAAUUUCUCACUUGUACUUUGUCUUUGUUGGUUCUCUUGGGGCCUACCAACGAAAGGGGUAUUCCUCCGCAUGGAACACUGGUGUGCUAGGUGGCCUUGUUGCCCACAUAGAUUACAUGAUCUAUUGCCAAUAGGAUGAUUCCUUUGUGUAGAACAAUCUCGCAGCAUGUGUCCCGCUUUCCCACAUGAGAAGCAUACUUCAGUUUUCCAAUGACACUCACUGCGAUGAUAACUUCCACAUGUAUUACAAGGGCCUUGGUUACUCGAAUUUCUGAACUAUCCUGGCUGGCUGAAACCUCUUCGCCUUCCACUACCAUCAGUAUGGCUACCUUGUACAUUUGUGGGCUUAAACCUUUUGGGUUGAGGCGCUCCUUGUGUGCCAUGCUUCAGAAUGCUUUGUUCCACCUUGAUUGUCCGUUCUAGCACAUCCUUAUAAGUUUUUAAUAUGAAAGGUGCAAGUGCAGAAUUAAUUUCAGGUCGGAGCCCUCCUAGGAAAUGGUCGUUCUUAUCUUCCUCAUUUGCUACCAAGUGCUAUGUAAAUGUACUCAACUGAUUAAAGCACCGUGGAGUCACCCUCAGAUAUAUGUACAAAGUCACCCUUCAUCUUUGCUUGGAAUGACUUUGGGAAGAAUUGAGCAUUGAACGCCUUUUUAAAGUCCUCCCAGGAUAUAAUAACAUCCCUACCUCCAAGACUUGGCUUCAUUCCAUCCCACCAAAACUCUACUUCACCUUCCAGGUAUUGGGUGGCAAAUUGAACUUUUCGAUCCACGGGAACCUCUUCAGCUUCAAAGAUCCCAUCAAUCUUUUUAAUCCAACGCUUAGUCGCAAGAGGAUCAGCUUUCCCAUCAAAAGUGGGUGGUUUUGCCUUUCUUAAAUGGCAAAAGUGCCUGAGCCAGUCACUCCAUCUCCAGUUAAUUCUUUUGCUUGUUGAUACCAAUGGAUCAUUGCUUGUUCAAAUUCAGUUGAACGGGUUGGCUCUUGAUCCUCUUCUUUGACUUCGCGCAAGUUAGGACUCCUAUUAUAGUGGUCCUCAAGUCUCCUUCUCAAAAACGCACCUCGAGAAGCUUGAGGCAUGUCUCUAGCCUCAGGGGUAGCGACUCGUUUGCCUUUGCGGCUCCUACGAAGCGAGGCAAGUGUCUCAAAGUUGGUACUCAUGAUCACCUGAAUCUAAUAAUGAAACUACACCUUAGAAUCUAGAAGACUAACGCAAAAAUAAAAUCUAUCACACAACCUCACAACAUCCCAUAACUACAUCCAAAAAGAUCAAAACUUAGGCUCUGAUACAAAAAAUGUCACACCCCAAAACUACAAAGAAUGAGGAUGACACGGCCAUCAUUCCACACGAAUGACGCGACCUCAAACACAACCAACAAACUGAUAUCAACUUAUAUAUAUCUCAAACCAUAUAUAUACAUAUAAGAUAAACCAACAAAUUGGUUGCAAUAUCAGAGUUUCUAUAAUCCACUAAAAAAAAUAUACGUUUAAAACUCAGACAAUACAACCACUAGUAAGGAUCAUGUGCACCACUUCUUUAAACCAUACCAAAGAAAAUAAAAAUAGAACUCCUCAAAAGUUUCCCACCAACGGCCCUCUCGCUCUAUUCGCCGCUAACCGAGGAACUUGAAAAGAUUAAAGGAGGAGUGGGAUGAGCAACAACAGCUCAGUGAGUAGUACAUCUCUUCUAAGCAGAUUGAACAACCAUUAUGCAUGUAUAUAAAGUAAUACCAAACUUCAUAAUGCCAACUCAAUAUAUAAAAUACAUAUCGAAUCUUAUAAGAGUUAUUUCUUAUCAUCAAAGCUUAAUAAUAAUAUGGAAAACUCAUUUAAAUCGCCAUCAAAAGUCAAGUAUCAAUGGUCAAAUCCAUUGAAUAAUCUCCAUCAAAAACACAUAUCAAUGAUCUAUCCAUUCAUUCAUCUCAUAUCAAACACAUAUUGAUGGUCCAUCCAUCGACCAAUCUUUUGCUCAAUAACUAACCAUGGUCACAACACAACGCCUUGUGACAAGGCGACCGAGAUUUCCCCUUGGCAAGGUCUCCACCUACAAAGUCGAUGGCUGGGCCCAGAAGGAUAUCCCAAAUCUAGUAUGCAUACCCCAAAAAGCCCUCACUGGGUUCACAGUCAUAUUGAGCAUAAUAACCAUUCUCCAAUACCAGAAAAUCCAAUCAAGAAAUCAAUAUCUUAAACUAAACGAAUAACAUUUGCGGCAUAGCCCAUCAUCCAUUUCAUAUCAAUUUCUCAAAUCAUCAUAAACCCUUUCAUGAAUCAAUCGCAAAGUAAUUUCAUAUAUAUUUCUCCACUUACUUUGUAUAAUACACUUUUCAAACAUCCACAAUCAACCAAAGAGUAACAAUUGCUCAAUCUGGCUUUUAUGCAAUACAAAUGCUCUUCUCGAUUCAAUAUAUAUAUACUUCAAGACAUGAUUUUUACAAAACCAAAGAAGAUAUAGUACGACUCACAUUGUCGUCUACAACCAAACGACGAACGAUACUCGUAUCGUGGAAUUCAAGGCCCUAUCAAAUAACCAAGAAAAAUGUUAAAAUCUAAUAAAACUCUAUCUCAAUUACGAAACAACUAAAUUACGCCUUAACUCUAACAAAAAGACUUCUACGCGCUAACAAUUCGCAUAACCAAAACGAUUGUUCAAGCCAGUCGUGAUGCGGAGUUUAAGCGCAAAACUUAGUUACGCAAUAACUUCCUCCUCCAAACCCCAUUCUGAACGUACUUAUAGUCAAUAGAGAGCCCUUGACAAAUAUUACAAGAAUCCCAACUUGACCAUCCCAAAAUCAAGCUGAAAGAUGACAAAAUACGAGCCCAAAGUUGCUGGACGCGUACUGUUCACUGCGCGCAAGAAACUUUGAAAUUUUGUUUCGGACAAACCAUAUGCUCAAAUCACGAUCCGUAAAAUCCCACGGCUUCACAACACCCUGAACUACCAUUCCUACAAAAAUACACAGCUCAACGACUCCAAAAAUGGACUUUGCCGCUGGAUUUUCUAAAAGUUCCGAAUUUGAACCCUAAACCCAUAAACUACUUCAAUUGGAUGAACGAGGAGCCUAAUCUCUUACCGGGUGCUGUGUUAUGGGGUCGAGUUGGCUUGGUGAGGCGUUCAAGGUGUGCACGUGCUAAAACUCUUUUCCUUUCUUCCCCUUUCUCUUCUUUCUUUUCUUUCUGGUUGAGGACCCCUCAGCUUCUAUUUAACCGAGCCCUCUCCUCUCUUCUUUUUACUUUAUUGACUUUUCAACUUCUUUUUAUGUUUCUUCUUUUGGGGCCCACUAGCCAAAUAUUACACCUUCCCACCGAGUCAAGUCAAUGUCGCCCCUACCAUCUUCUACGUCUCGACGUGAGGAAGUUAUUGUUGCCCGAGUGACACAUGUAAUGACGCCUUGAGGCCCUCCAUCUUUUCCUUAUCACAACUUGUCCCGUUCUUGCACCGAUUCCUCACUCCUAGUGCGUCCCACUUUCACCAGAUUUCUGAGGAAGAAAGGAAAAUGUCGAGCUCUCAGUGUUUUGAGAACCCACCAAACCUGAGCUCCACUUGCGGAGCAGGACACGUUGAAGAGCUUGCAGGUCUCAAGACUUACGUCACCGGCCCUUCCGAUUCCAAGCGUGCUGUUCUUCUCAUCGCCGAUGUUUUCGGUACUGGCCCAUUUCUUUAAUUUUGAUUUUGUGGUGUUUCUCUCAGUUGGGUCUUUUCUUUUGGUCAAUUAUGUAUAUCUCCUUGGUUCUUUGUCGUUCUUGUGCUUUUCGAUUGGUCCAUGAUAUUGCUG